GUGCCGGAAGAUUUCUCCCAAGGACAAAAUAUAGAAUCUACAUACUAAGAUCUGCCGAGGUCCUGUGAAACACCUUUAUUAUUCUGGGCUUGCUGGCCUCUUUUAAAUAAAGAAUCCGUGUCCUCGUUUGGACGCGGGUUCAAGAUUGAUUGCUAUAUAUCUAUUGAAGGAUGGGUGUCACCGAGCCUUACAAAGAUGUACUAGCUGCGCUUUUGGAGACAUUCUUCCCAGUGUUGGAUCCUCACAGAUAUCAGAACUCUUUCUGCACGGAUACGUGUUCGGCUGCCUCGCUGCAGCUGCCAAUUCACAGUAUUCCCGAGGUAGUCGAUGAGGUAAGUACGACACCGCCUUGGAUGUCUAAAAUACCCACCAUGAUCUGCUCCAGUCCUUGAGAUGACUUUCAGUGCUCCAUUCAAGCAUGAUCCCCUACAAACUCUGCUGGUGCAUAAUACUUUGAGGUGAAUAGUCGUGCUUAACCCCUCUCAAGAGAAGUUUGGUACCUGUCAACUGGCACAGGUGCUGCGGAGCAUCAGGGUCCUUCCCCCCGAAUCACAGCGCAGCUUCUUUCU
rnacentral:lncRNA from 1 species